rnacentral:rRNA from 1 species
CCUACGGGAGGCAGCAGUGAGGAAUAUUGGUCAAUGGGCGCAACCCUGACCGAGCAAUGCCGCGUGAAUGAUGAAGGUCUUCGGAUUGUAAAAUUCUGUCAAUGGGGAAGAAUGGUGUACGGAGUGGAAAGCCGUACACGUGACGGUACCCGUUUAGAAAGCCCCGGCUAACUAUGUGCCAGCAGCCGCGGUAAU